rnacentral:miRNA from 1 species
UUCCGAUGGACGAGGUAUGUGUACCUUGUCCAGCGGAAGGCGUUCCUUCCGAUGGACGAGGUACAUGUACCUUGUCCAAGCGGAA